UACGGGGGGGGCAAGCGUUGUUCGGAAUUACUGGGCGUAAAGGGCUCGUAGGCGGCCAACUAAGUCGGAUGUGAAAUCCCCAGGCUUAACCUGGGAACUGCAUCCGAUACUGGAUGGCUUGAAUCCGGGAGAGGGAUGCAGAAUUCCAGGUGUAGCGGUGAAAUGCGUAGAUAUCUGGAGGAACACCGGUGGCGAAGGCGGGAUCCUGGGCCAGUACUGACGCUGAGGAGCGAAAGCGUGGGGAGCAAACAGG
rnacentral:rRNA from 1 species